rnacentral:misc_RNA from 1 species
GAUGAAGAACGUAGCGAAAUGCGAUACGUAAUGUGAAUUGCAGAAUUCAGUGAAUCAUCGAGUCUUUGAACGCACAUUGCGCCCCCUGGUAUUCCGGGGGGCAUGCCUGUCCGAGCGUCAUUGCUGCCCUCAAGCACGGCUUGUGUGUUGGGCCUCCGUCCUCCUCCCGGGGGACGGGCCCGAAAGGCAGCGGCGGCACCGCGUCCGGUCCUCGAGCGUAUGGGGCUUCGUCACCCGCUCUUGUAGGCCCGGCCGGCGCUUGCCGACACAUCAAUCUUUUUUCCAGGUUGACCUCGGAUCAGGUAGGGAUACCCGCUGAACUUAAGCAUACCAAUAACGGAGGA